rnacentral:rRNA from 1 species
CCUACCGGAGGCAGCAGUAGGGAAUCUUCCACAAUGGACGAAAGUNUGAUGGUGCUUCGCCGCGUGAGUGAAGAAGGUUUUCGGAUCGUAAAACUCUGUUGUUGGAGAAGAAUGUAUCUGAUAGUAACUGAUCAGGUAGUG